CCUACGGGUGGCAGCAGUCGAGAAUCAUUCACAAUGGGGGAAACCCUGAUGGUGCGACGCCGCGUGGGUGAAUGAAGGUCUCGGGUUGGUAAACUCUUGUCAUGUGGGAGCAAAUUAAAAAGAUAGUACCACAAGAGGAAGAGACGGCCAACUCUGUGCCAGCAGGCGCGGUAAUACAGAGGGUGCAAGCGUUGUUCGGAAUCACUGGGCGUAAAGGGAGCGUAGGCGGUUUCAUAAGUCGUGUGUGAAAGGCGAGGGCUUAACCCGCGGAAAGCACAUGAUACUGGGAAACUAGAGUAAUGGAGAGGAAAGCGGAAUUCUCGGUGUAGCGGUGAAAUGCGUAGAUAUCGGGAGGAACACUAGUGGCGAAGGCGGGUUCCUGGACAGUAACUGACGCUGAGGCACGAAAGCAAGGGGAGCGAAAGGGAUUAGAUACCCGAGUAGUC
rnacentral:rRNA from 1 species